AUGGAUCGCCCGCCACAUCUCGACAUCGACCUCAACGAGGCGCCCUCGCCGCCGCCGUCGCCGCCGGUGGCGGUUCCCCAGUCGCCGCCGCGCGGGUUCGCUGCCCCCAUUUUUGCUCCUCCGCCUCCGCUGCCGCCGCCGCCGCCGCCACCACCCCAGCCCCAGCCUCCCGCCAACGCGCAGGCCCAGCUGCUGCUCGCGCACCAGGCCCGCGAGAUAGCGCUGGCGUACCACCGUGGGGAGUCGUGGAGGCUGGCUGCUGCUACGGCCAUUGCGGCCGCGACCGCUGGUUCGUCGGUGGAGGUGCCGCCUCCAGCGCAGCACCCGGGAGUAGCGGGGUGGGGGAACCCGCCGCCCCCGUGCGCGUCCUGCGGCCUCCCCGAGCUGCCGGGGGCCACCAUUAUCUGUGACGCCUGCGAACGUGGGUUCCAUGAAUCAUGCGUCCACGUCUGGGGGCCGCUUAUGCGCCAGCCUCCGCCACCACCGCUGCCCACCCCCCCUGGUGUGCGGCGGCCUCCGGUAGCCGUGAACGAGGACUGGAUGUGCCCGGCGUGUGAGAUAGGUGGCGCCCACUCCAAGCGCUGGAAGCUUCGAGCAGUGCCGCUCGACAUCAAUGCCGCCCCACGGGAGGAUCCUGUUGCCGUCACCAUCGGAGACAUCACCAGAGUAAGUGUUGCUGAUGGAGCUCACUUGACCGAAUUGGCUACUCCACGUUUUGAGGGGCUGCAAUUGAAUAAUACAACUCCUUUUGAUGGGAAUCACUUUAUGCCAGCAUUUGGUCUUCCUCAUUGUUUUAGACAACAAUUUCCUCCUGUGGAUCAAAAUUUCAUUGCUGAUGGAAACAUAGAACAGAGGUCAAAUCAUACACGCCGCAGGAGAAGAGAUUUUCCACAAACAUCAGCAUUGCCCAAGUUUUCUGAGAAGCACGAGUUUGGAAGUUCCAGCAUUUUGAUGGAGCCAUCAUUUUUUAUGAAAGCAACAGCCCCGAGUCCUACAGAAGAAAGAAAUCCACUAAAGCCUCCAAAAUUUCUUGCGGAAAAUUGCAACCGUCAACCACAUCAUCGCAGUGUUGGCCUACCUGUUCAAUAUCAAGAUUUCUUUAUAACUAGCUUGGGAGAAAUCGAUAAACAGGCAAGCUACCACAAUAGCCACCAGAUAUGGCCAGUGGGUUUUACGUCUUACUGGCAUGAUAGAGUUACUGGUUCACUGUUUGAGUGUGAGGUGUGUGAUGGAGGGAGCUUUGGGCCUUUGUUUAAGGUCAGAAGGUUACCAUGCUCAGUGUUCCCCCUUCCAGAAGCCACGACCAUUCUCUCUCAGAAUGGUGCAAGAAAGGCUGAUACAAUUGAAACAAAGGAAAGUAGCAGUUUUAUGGGAGAUGCUGCUAAUGAUAUGGAUGAUCUUUAUAUGAUCCUGGAUGUUCCCUCUGAGACCAAUCAAGAUUUCUUAUCAUGUCUUACCAAUGAUACGGAGGAUAAAAGGACGUCUUUGGGUUGCAAUGAUGUACAGAGUUCAAAUAUGACGUCACAAAUACUACCUUCAAAUUCUGAGAAUGUUCCACCAAGUAAGGAAGCCAAUAUUAAUGACCAAAUUGGUGAGUUUACAUUUGAGGGAACAUCAUCCUCUUCAGUAUGGAGGAUGAUUUCUUGUGCUAUGGUGGAAGCUUGUGAAAAAAUGUACAAGGAACAUGGGCAUUUGGUAUUCUCAUGCACACACAGUAGUGGAAAUCAUUUGUUAAACAAGGGGAGUGAAUGUCAGAACUUUGAUGGUCCUUACGCUCCCUUAACUAGAUUUUGCUCAUCCAACGGCCCCAGUAUACCACGAGUUAUAGAAAAGAAGGAUGAUGUGGAAUCUACUUAUACAUUACUGAAGAAGUGGUUAUACCAUGAUAGAAUUGGGCUUGAUUUGGAAUUUGUUCAAGAAAUUGUGGAGUCUCUUCCUAGAUCCAGGUCUUGCAUAAACUACCAGUUCUUGUGCAAUAGGGCUGAAUUUCACUCUUCUAUGACAGUUGCAAGUGGUUUACUUAUAUCUGUGCAUAAAGAUGGCCAAAGUAAUGGAGAUAUGUCAUAUGAUAGACAUGGUGCGGUGACUGGGCUACAUGAUCAUGCUCAGCCCAGCGGUUCUAGCAUCCGCGAGCUACCUCCGGGACGUCCUAUUAGCCAUAAGCUUCCACCAGAAUCGGCGGGAGAUGUUUUCCAGAUAUGGGAGUUCUUGGGGCGCUUUGCUGAAAUCAUUGAUCUCAAAGAAGUGCCUUCAUAUGAACAAUUGGAAGAUGAACUUGUUGACCCAUGGCCAGUUUGUGGAAAUCAGAAAGAAACAUUGUCGAAGGGCAUUCAACAAUGUAGGGAUUACUCUUCACCGAUGAAUUCCCCUGCAAAUGUUUCUAUAUCACAUUCAAAUAGUGAAUCUGGUCUAUCCAAUAAUGAAGAGAUUGUGUCUGUGUUUAUUCCUGUGGAAACUUCUUCCAUGAAGGAAGCUGGUCAAGAUAAAUUGGCAGCGCAGACACUUGGGAGGUGCACUGGUGUAGUAUUGCCCGGGGUUCACCUUGCACUCUUCAAGGUUCUUUUUGGUGAGCUACUUUCAAAGGUUGCGAUAUUUGUAGAUCCAAACAUUGACCCCAAAGAAUCAAAACCCAGGCGUGGAAGAAAGAAGGACACUGAGAGCCUCAUUUCAACAAAGGAAUUUAACUUUGAUAUGCUAACUGCUAACAAGUUGACUUGGCCUGAGUUGGCUAGAAGGUACAUGCUAGCUAUUUCUUCCAUAAAUGGGUGCAUGGACGUGUCUGAUAUUUCCAGUCGAGAAGGGGUGAAGUUAUUCCGCUGCCUACAAGGUGAUGGUGGCAUACUGUGCGGAGCAGUACCUGGGGUUGCCGGCAUGGAGAAGGAUGCCCUGCUGCUUCUGGAGGCGGAAAAUUUGAUAUGCAGUUCUCUAUCAAGUGAAGGAAACAAGGUUUUUAUGAUGGAUUACAAGUACACUGAUAUGAUAGAUUCUGCUGAGGUGCCUAUUGCUGAUAACAGAACAUUGCCAGAUUGGGCAGAACCACUAGAGCCGGUGAGAAAAUUACCGACAAAUGUGGGAACGAGAAUUAGAAAGUGUGUUUAUGAAGCUUUGGAUCGAAAACCACCAGAAUGGGCAAGGACAAUUUUGGAACAUUCGAUAAGUAAAGAAGUCUACAAGGGUAAUGCAUCUGGACCAACCAAGAAAGCUGUUUUAUCUGUGUUGUCAGAGGCAUGCCGUGUAAUAGUGCCACAAAAACCUGAAAACCCAAGAAAUGAAAGGAAAACUAUUUCCAUCUCAGAGGUUAUCUUGAAAAAGUGUCGUAUUGCUCUGCGCCAUGCCAUUUCUUCAGAUGAAUCUAAGCUUUUUGGGAAUUUGCUUGGAACUACUCUAAUGAACUCUAAUGAGAAUGAGGAUGAGGGCAUCCUUGGAUUUUCUGGUAUGGUGCCACGCCCUUUGGACUUCCGCACAAUUGAUACAAGGUUGGCUAUGGGCGCUUACUGUGGAUCUUGGGAGACUUUUUUUGAGGAUGUGCAAGAGGUAAUCCGUAAUCUGCACACUGCAUUUGCUGAUCGAGCUGAUGUAGUGGAAAUGGUUGCCGAAUUGUCUCAGAGUCUUGAAUCCUUAUAUAAGACAGAGGUGCUCGACCUUGUUCAGAAAUUUGAUUGUCACCUGUCUAAUGAGAAUACUGAUUCAGAAAUCCAUGAGGAGCUACAUGAUAUUCUGACUGCAGCAACCAAAUUACCUAAAGCUCCAUGGGAGGAGGGUGUUUGCAAAGUAUGUGGCAUUGAUAGAGACGAUGAAAGUGUUCUCUUAUGUGAUGAGUGUGACUCGGAAUACCAUACUUACUGCUUGAAUCCACCACUAGCUCGUAUACCACAAGGAGACUGGUUCUGCCCAUCGUGCAUAUUAAAGCCAAAGAAAAAAUCACGUCUUGACCAGGGUGCUCAGGAUUCCAAACGACAACGAAAAGGAGCAGAGUCUCAUGUUCACGACAAACCAUCGUGCAUGUCAGGUCAAAAGAAAUCACAUCUUGACCAGGGUGUUCAGGAUUUGAAACGACAACGAAAAGGAGCCUUUCACGACAUACUUUUUAAGUUAACUGCAGCAAUGGAACAAAAGGAGUAUUGGGAGCUUAGCACACAAGAGAGAAUAAAUAUGCUGAAAUUUCUAUGUGAUGAAAUGCUCAACACAGUCCUGGUAAGAGAACAUAUAGAAAAAUGUCCAGAUAAGUUGAAUGACCUCCAGCAGAAGUUUCGUGCUUUGAAUUUUGAAUUGAAAGAUUUGAAAUAUAAGGAGGAAAUGAGGACUUCAUAUGCUAGACAAAGCAGAUGGAGCAAGACUGAACAGCACGUUAGCAAUUGUUCUGGACUUGCGGAAAAUCAACAGAAUGAAGUGGCCAUAGCAUCAGACCAUCUUGAAGAGUCUGAACAAGGUAAUACUGUAGUUAACCUCAACCACCCAGCUGAAGGGACUCCUGGGCAACUAAAUGUUGGCAAACCCUGCAAAAGUGACAAUGGCAUGUCUAUGGUUGAAGACAAUAAGUCUUUGGGACUUUCUGAACAACCAUCAGGGACAGGUAGUGACCGGAUUGAAGGGAACAUUAUGAACGAAGGGUCGCGUGAUAACUUCAAUUUGGUGGACACUCCUAUUGCUGAAAGAGAACCAGUAGCUACACCUCUCAGUACACCGGGUGGGGAGUUGCCUGAUGAAAAUGCUAGCGCAUCCCAAGAUAAUCUGAAAAUGUCAACAACUAGAUCACUUGAGCAAGCUGCUGAUAAUGGUGAAAUGGAUACUUUAUCGGACGAGAUUUCAAAAGUGCAGGAGUCAAUUGGCACAGUAGAGUCACAACUUAAUAUGUCAUCCCUCAGAAGAGAUUGUCUGGGAAAGGAUUCCUUGGGUCGAUUGUACUGGGUUUUAGGACGAUCUGGUAAACGUCCUUUGCUGGUCGCUGAUGGAAGCAUGCUGAUAUGCAAGGAGAGGGACAUUAACAUGGUUAAUAGCUACCCCCCCUCUACUUCUGAUUGUAAAGGAUGGAAUUCUGCAUCUGUUGUCAUUUAUGAGUCGGAUGACGAAAUCCGUAAUCUUGUUGACUGGCUAAGGGAAUACGAUCCAAGGGAAAAGGAGCUGAAAGAUGCUAUCCAGCAGUGGCAGCGGCAUCUUUAUCACCUGGGUAAUUUUGUUCUCAGUGAUCCUCCAAUAUCCAAGGGGUCGAACAGCGAGCAGCAGCUUAUGGACCUUCCCAGUACCAGGGCUGGAGCAAUUUUGGAGAAAACAUGCCGCUGUGACUGCUUAGAGCCUAUAUGGCCUGCUCGACACCACUGUGUAGCAUGUCACGAGACUUACUCCAAAUUAACGGAGUAUGAAGAGCAUGCUGGAAAGUGCAAUGGAGAUGUCAAGGAGAAGGAUUCCGUUGAUCCUAGCUCCACUGCUGAGUCCAGAAAACUGAAGUCAUGCCCAUAUGACUUUGAAGAGAUUUGCAGAAAAUUUACCACGAAUGAUUCAAACAAGGAGAUAGUGAAGGAUAUUGGACUUAUUGGAUCAAAUGGAGUUCCGUCUUUUGUCCCUUCACCUGCAUUUUAUCUUGAGCCUCCAGUUAUUCUGAAUAAAAACAAAAAAGAUGACAUCCCAAAUGAUUGGGUUUCCUCCUUGGAGGAAUGCCAGGCAAUGUCUGCACAAAAGUUCGGGCAGGAGGGGUCCAAUUCUGGUCAAAAUUGUCCUGGUAGCACGGGUGAUGAAAAUGUGUCAAAAUCUAAGAAGCCCGCCUCUGAGAGUACUUCCUGUGAGGAAGCAUCUUCUGCAACAGACAAACCAACAAGAUUGCUAGCUGUUAAUGGUGGCUUGGUUCCGGAGUCAUCAUUGAGGCCUGUUAUAGGAAGAAACUCUCAUAUCCUAAAGCAGCAAAAGAUAAAUUUGCUUGAUAUAGAUGCAGCAUUGCCCGAGGAAGCUUUGAGAGCCUCAAAGUCUCAACAAAUAAGAAGGCGUUCAUGGCGUACUUUUGUGAAGCAUGCAGAAUCAAUAUCUGAGAUGGUACUGGCGACCAGUGUGUUGGAGAGUAUGAUAAAAUCCGAGUUCCUGAAGAAUGAUUGGUGGUACUGGUCCUCCUUCACAGUAGCUAUGAAGACCUCAACUGUAUCCUCGCUCGCUCUCAGGAUCUACACUCUUGACGACUGUAUCAUGUACACCAAGGAGCCUAACACCAUGCUGGCUGACAGUAUAAAGGUUGUAAACAAGGGGAAGAGGAGGAAAGAGCCAGAACCAUCAGCGUCGUAA
rnacentral:rRNA from 1 species